GCUGCGGAGGCCGUGGAUCACCUAAUGGAUGCCUUUCGGGAAGGCAUCAAGUGGAGAUCUAGAAGGAGAAGGAGAUGAAGAUGACCGGAGACAGUCCCGUUGAGCACUCCUUUAAGAACAAGGGUACUGCGAAGACACAGCGGCCCUUCCUCUAAUGCCAAUUCUGUUGGUGCAGAAUUCUGCCGAAACUGGAGAAGCUAGAGUUGAGAUGACCGCGGCCACCGU
rnacentral:lncRNA from 1 species